rnacentral:lncRNA from 1 species
CCUAGCACACAAAUUACUUCGUUCAGCCCUAUCAUCUCCUCUUCUGUCUUCCUCAUUUCUUCAUUCAGCGCACCCUCUAGUUCCUCCGCCACCGCCCUUUGCCCACCACCGUCAUCCGCAGCAGCAGCCUUUUCCGCCCUCCCGCCUUCCACCAGUAGCAGCCUGUGCCGCCCUCCACCGCCAGCCCCAUCUACAGCCGCCAUCUUAGUCGCUGUUGAGACCACCGUCGUUCGAUUUAUCUCGUGUUUGGCCAAGGUAUUUUAAUCUUUCACUUUUGUUUCUAAUUAAUUGCAAAUUUGAAAUUAAUCAAACAAGAGUUAAAUCUGCAGUGGAUAUUUAGAUUUGAAAAAAUUUCGAAUUUUUAGAGCAAAACACUAAUGGCUUUGUUGGACAUUAAAAAGUGGGUUUCAUCCCAUGUUGACUGUAUAUAUGCAUAUGUGUGUGUGUAUAAUGUACAUAUAUGCUUACUUUUUUUUUUCUGUAAUCUUUUUUAUUUUUUAGGAAAAAUAUAGAUAAUGGAUCUAAGAAAGUGUUUGUUCAAAAAAAAUGCUUUUAAAAUUCAUAAAUUUAGAGUCCUUCCAAAAAAUAUAUAUCCAAACAAGCCCUACAAAACGAUGAUUUUAAAUUCACUGUGUAUUUUUAGUCCAAAUAAAGUAAUUGGAAUCCUUUAAAAAAAAAAUUAUAUCCAAACGGAGGAUUUGAAAUCCAUAUAGAUUUGCAAUGCUUAAACAUUUAUCUACAUAUCCAAACCAAACGGAGCCUUAUGGUAAUCAUGUGAAUUUGGGAGUUUGUUGGCUCUUGGAUGUUGGGAAUUUGGGAGUAAUCAGAUUGUGAUACACAUGUUAAGAUUUUGCAGUGAAAUCUUUUUUUGUUUGUUGGCUCUUUGGAUGUUGGAUGCAUGCCACAUGUUUGAGUUAAUUAUUCAUUUUGACAUGCAUUGUUUAUGAUAAAUAAUUUUAAUAUCUAAUUAAUUUGGUGGUUUAUUAAUAUUCUAAUUUCAUUGAACUUAAGAACACCUAGCAUUAUCACCUAAGUAAUUUAACAACCAAGCGAGACUGCUAUGCAAGACUCGGCAUAAAAUUGUUUGUAUCUCAUUUUAUUUAGUCUUUUGUAAAUUCAGUUUAUUGUAUUUGUUGAAAUUAAUAGAAAUUGUUGUUGAAAUUAUGUAUUUUUAUAUUUUUACCCAAUAGAUUCAAUAUAAAGAGGUAAUUCACUUCUACAUUAAUUUGGCGAAUUCCCAACCCUAUCAAAUAUUGAGUAACUAAACUUCCAUGGGCGGAGCUAAGUGAGUUGCAUUGAAUCUAUCUAUUAUUUAAAAAAAAAAUUAGAUUACAUAGUACUAUGUAAAUUUUUUUGGAUAUAUUUAUAAAUUGACAUCACUAAAAUUAUUUUAAUAAAAUAUAAAUAAUGGUCUCGUUUUUUCCUAGAAAGUUGAACUUAAUUGAUAAUCAUUUUUUAUUGUAGCAAUAAAGUUUUGUUUUACAUAUAAUUCGGGGCCAUUUUGAACUAAGUUUGCGUUAUUGCGAAUAUAUGAUAGACAUUAUGUAAUACCCCGAAACUCAUUAAUUACCUUUAUUUAUGUUUUAAUGAUUCAUUUUUUUUAUUUCUUAGGGUCAAAGUGACCAAUUGAGAGUAGGUUGUAACUCAAACUCUUGGAGGAGGGCACAUGGGAUUAUUUCCCAUGUGUAUCUCAAAUUAUAUGCACACACCCAUAUACACACUACACUUUCAACUCACACACACAGAGAAGAAGAGGAAGGGAAGAGAAACUUGGAGGGUCAAAUUCCAAGCCAUAGGAAGUCAUUGGAAGCUCCAUCAAACUUGAAGAAGGUAAUACCUUAAUCUUGGUGAUAUAUGUAUAUGUUGUGGAUUUUUUGGAUUUCUGGUUUGGAUGCACUUAAGAGGGUUUUAAUUUGUAUAAGAGGACAGACACCCUUGAGUCCCUAAUUGACAAAUCUUUAGAGCUUGAAGCUCCAAAUGGAGAGAAUUAAGGAGUUGGGAUCAAAAUUCCCAAUUUGUAACGGGUUUAGAGUUUUAAAUUUUAGAUCCCUUUUGUUUUAAUUGUUCUUUUUCCUCCAUUUUGAGUUAUUGUCACCCUAGGGAGUCCAUCUUUAGACCCUUUGAAGAAUGGGAGGAUUUGGUUGUGUUUUGGAAAAUUUUAGUGAAUUUGAGAAUUCAUUUCUGCUGCUACGUACAGCCAGCGUUUGAACGUCUCUAUAGAGCAUUCGAACGCACAGAGGAGGGGAAUCUAGACAUGAUGCCUUAAUGUUCGAAUGCCAGACACAGUGUUCGAACGCUACAACAACUAUGCCUUAACGUUCGAACGCCUCUGUGCAACGUUCGACUGUCCAGAGAGGUGAAUAUCGCCAUUUUGCCUUAGCGUUCAAAUGUCUUUGCUGAGCAUUCGAAUGGUGACGAUUCAAUAGCCUAGCGUUCGAAUGCCAGAUCCCAGCGUUCAAAUGCCAGGCCAAAUUUUAAGCAAUUUGACGUUUUUCCCUUU